rfam:Chlorocebus sabaeus isolate 1994-021 chromosome 23, whole genome shotgun sequence.
GCCGGGCGCAUUGGCUCAAGCCUGUAAUCCCAGCACUUUGGGAGGCUGAGGCAGGAGGAUCACUUGAUCUCAGGAGUUCAAGAUGGGCAACAUAACAACACCCUAUCUCUACAAAAAUAAUUUUUUGUUUUUUGAAAUGGAGUUUCGUUCUUGUUGCCCAGGCUGGAGUGCANNNNNNNNNNUGCACUCCAGCCUGGGCAACAAGAACGAAACUCCAUUUCAAAAAACAAAAAAUUAUUUUUGUAGAGAUAGGGUGUUGUUAUGUUGCCCAUCUUGAACUCCUGAGAUCAAGUGAUCCUCCUGCCUCAG